GACGUAGGGCGCGAGCGUUGUCCGGAUUUAUUGGGCGUAAAGAGCGUGUAGGCGGCUUUACAGGUCCGUUGUGAAAACUCGAGGCUCAACCUCGAGACGCCGGUGGAAACCGUAAAGCUAGAGUCCGGAAGAGGAGAGUGGAAUUCCUGGUGUAGCGGUGAAAUGCGCAGAUAUCAGGAGGAACACCGGUGGCGAAGGCGGAUCUCUGGGCCUUACCUGACGCUGAGGCGCGAAAGCUAGGGGAGCGAACAGG
rnacentral:rRNA from 1 species